rnacentral:misc_RNA from 1 species
AUAUUGCAACUAACUACUAAAUUUAGUCGAUCAGUUGCCCGAACUGGAGCAUACGAAGGGCUUCACUUAGGUUAUAUUGUCAAUUGUCUCAGAUUGCUACACUUUUGCCUGCACCAUCGUAUUUGUAUUCCCUUAAACAUUAUUGACGAUGCAAUGCCUUCCAAACUGCUGACCAAUGAAACAAUGUUGCAUGUUGUUGCACCGUGCACUUCACACCUCGCAGUGUUGUCCACAUAACGCAGGAUACGUUCUUGUUCCGCAGUUGGCGUCCCGGCUCGAGUACGCCCGGUUCGAGAAGGAUCGCUGGAAGCAGGUGACCCAAGUCGACUGGAAAUCCAUCAAGGAUGAGAAUGUCAAGCGCCAGUUCAAGGUGCUCUCCAAGCUGGGCACGGCUGCCCUGCCAGAGGACAGGUUGGAGAAGUACGACCAGUUGCAGAGUGGCAUGGAGCGGACGUACAGCACGGCCAGGGUGUGCAACCUGAACGGCACCAGCUGCGACCUCAGCCUCGAGCCCGAUCUGUCGGAGAUCAUGGCCAACAGCCGCGACCCCGAGGAGCUCGAGCACGUCUGGCUCGCCUGGAGAGAAAACACCGGCAAGAAGAUGCGCAACUCGUACAAGGAGUUUGUGGAACUCAUCAACGAGGCGGCUGAGCUAAACGGUUUCUCGGACGGCACCGAACUGUGGCUGGACGUGUACGACACCGCCGACUUUCAGUCGCAGAUCGCGCGCCUCUGGGACCAGCUGACGCCCCUGUACGAGCAGCUGCACGCGUAUGUGCGCGGCCGGCUGCGCCAGCACUACGGCGAGGAGGUGGUCAGCAGGGACGGCCCCAUCCCGGCGCACCUGCUCGGGAACAUGUGGUCUCAGUCCUGGGGCAAUCUGCUCGAUAUCUGCAAACCGUACCCAGAGAAGGCCAGCGUUGACGUAACACCGCAGAUGAAAGCGCAGGGCUACACGCCGCUGAAGAUGUUCCAGAUGUCAGACGAGUUUUUCACCUCGCUCGGUCUGAUCCCGAUGACGCCCGAGUUCUGGAACAGAUCCAUCCUGGAGAAGCCCGACGACGGCCGCGAGCUGGUCUGCCACGCGUCCGCCUGGGACUUCUACGACGGAAAGGAUGUCCGGAUAAAACAGUGCACGGUGGUCACUCUGGAGGACCUGAUCACAGCCCACCACGAAAUGGGGCACAUUGAGUACUUCCUCCAGUACGCUGGACAACCUCAGGUCUUCAAAACAGGUGCCAACCCAGGUUUCCAUGAGGCCGUCGGAGACACGCUGGCCCUGUCAGUGGCCACGCCUAAACACCUGAAGAAGAUCGGACUCCUGGAAGAGGUCAUCAACGAUCCCGAGGUGGACAUGAACUUCCUGAUGUCGGUGGCGCUGGACAAGAUCGCCUUCCUGCCGUUCGGCUACGUGAUGGACAAGUGGCGGUGGGGCGUGUUCUCGGGCGACAUCUCCGAGGACGACCUCAACUGCGAGUGGUGGAAGCUGCGACUGGGCCUGCAGGGCAUCGAGCCGCCGCAGGUGCGCUCCGAGAUGGACUUUGACCCGGGCGCCAAGUACCACAUCCCCGGCAACGUGCCCUACAUCAGAUACUUCGUGUCGUUCAUCAUCCAGUUCCAGUUCCACAAGGCACUGUGUAUCACGGCCAACCAGUACGACCCCAACGACCGGGCGCGGCCGCUGCACCAGUGUGACAUCUACAACAACAAGGAGGCCGGCAAAAAACUGGCUAAAAUGCUGUCGAUGGGCGCGUCGAAGCCGUGGCCGGACGCGAUGGAGGCCAUCACGGGACAGCGCGAGAUGGACGCCACGGCGCUGCGCGACUACUUCCAGCCCCUGGAGGACUGGCUGAAGCGCGAGAACCAGGAGAACCAGGAGAUCAUCGGCUGGAAGACCGAUGAGCCGGUAUGCACACGCGAGCCGCAGCCCAUCAGCACCCGAGGCGGCGGCGACCACGAGGACGAUGACGACGACGACGACGAUGACGACGACAACGGGGUGUCGGCGGCCGCGCCGCUGUCGACGCUGUUGCUGCUGGCGGCGGCCGCGACGGCGCUGUUCCGCUGAGCGCGCGCGGCGCUCAGGGACGCGCCUUUGGACCUGCGGGAUACGGGGGCGGCCUCCGACGGCCGGCCUGCCGUGGUCACGGUGAUCCAGGAGUCCUGCGAUGGUUCGUGAAACCAAUAAACAGUCAGCAAGUACGAUAAGGUCCGUCUGGUCAAUGUGGUUGCCGUGAUGUUCUGGCUCUUAUAUGUCAUGACGUGCAAUGAUCUUGUGACUAAGUGGCUUCUGGGGACCGAACUGACGCCCACAUUCCCCCCGGCUAUCCGAAGACCUCGGAUGGCCGAUGAAGCCUACGAGCUGAAGCAGUGAUGCCUUUUACAGACAGACACAUAUCUUUCAGUCCGUCCUAUCAUCAGCUGUGUCGCUGUGUUACUCAGAAUGGUGAAGGUGUUCUUGUUUUGGGUACUUUUCGCGUUGUGAGAAACAAGACAAGCUCUUGGAUGCUAGUAUGUAUUGUAGGAUUCGUAUUAGAUGAUAGUUUCGACCAACCAUCAAAACUGCGACUGUCUAGAUCCGAUGGCGGAUGGUUGAACUCGUUUUAGCACGAUAAAUCGGUGCACAGAUGCGUCUAUUGGCACACACAAGGGAGGUUUUGCCGCUGAACGGUUAACAUAAGAUGGUACCUAUAAGCACCCCAGCGGUACCCGUGUGUACCUACCCCAGCAGCAUGGUGGACAGGAUACAAGCUAACAAGAUGUGUUAGAUCAUCGUGAUCGUGUUUAUAUUUGCCAAGAGCCUGUAGGUGCGAAAAACAGCCUUAUGUAACUAGACGAAAUAGUGCCGAUACUUUGUGCCAUUUGCUUUGAAUUGGAAAUAAGGAUGGACACAGGACAACUCCAGAGCUAUGGCUUCUGCGUGAAUGUACUGUAUACAUAUGUACCAUGGUUAGAAUACAGGAAUAAAAUAUAUAAAUAUUGA